UUCUGAACAACGUUUUCUUUA
rnacentral:piRNA from 1 species